rnacentral:tRNA from 1 species
GCUGUAAUAGCUUAAA